UACAGAGGGUGCAAGCGUUGAUCGGAAUCAUUGGGCGUAAAGGGCAGGUAGGUGGUCUUAUUUGUCUGGGGUGAAAUCCCUGAGCUUAACUCAGGAAGUGCCUCAGAAACGGUAAGACUUGAGUGCUGGAGAGGGUCGUGGAAUUCCCGGUGUAGCGGUGAAAUGCGUAGAGAUCGGGAGGAACACCAGCGGCGAAGGCGGCGACCUGGACAGUGCCUGACACUCAACUGCGAAAGCGUGGGGAGCAAACAGG
rnacentral:rRNA from 1 species